UACGGAGGAUGCGAGCGUUAUCCGGAUUUAUUGGGUUUAAAGGGUGCGUAGGCGGAAGGUUAAGUCAGUGGUCAAAUGUCGGUGCUCAACACCGGCCUGCCGUUGAAACUGGCGUUCUUGAGUGAGCGAGGAGUAUGCGGAAUGCGUGGUGUAGCGGUGAAAUGCAUAGAUAUCACGUAGAACUCCGAUUGCGAAGGCAGCAUACCGGCGCUCAACUGACGCUCAUGCACGAAAGCGUGGGUAUCGAACAG
rnacentral:rRNA from 1 species